rnacentral:lncRNA from 12 species
GCCAGAGAACGAGAAAGAGACAGAAAGAAAGGACUUUUUAGUGGCAAUGGAAAGGACCAGAAAAGAGGUUGAAACAACCUGCGGAACACAACAUCAGACUUCUGUUCUGAGGAUUUGAGCUGCAAGUAUAUUAGUGAUCAACGGACAGAACACCAACAGUGAUGGGCUGGAAGGAAGAGGAUCCCAGGCCAACCAAGAAUGGUGCAUUGGAAUACUGAAUGUCAGUGUGCACCAGAAGACACCUUCCUGGGAACUCUUCCUGUGGGCCAAGUCAGCUCUUCCCAAGCAAGGAUGUGAACUGACUUUGUGAGUAUAGCACGUGAAAGGGACUUAGAAGCAGAAGCUUACACUGAAGAUUAAGAUAAAAAAAUGAAGCCUCAGUUUUUUUUGUCCCAAAAUGGGAA